rnacentral:rRNA from 1 species
UACGUAGGUGGCAAGCGUUGUCCGGAUUUAUUGGGUUUAAAGGGUGCGUAGGCGGUCUAAUAAGUCAGUGCUGAAAUAUCCCGGCUUAACCGGGAGGGUGGCAUUGAUACUGUUGGACUUGAGUAGAGUUGAGGUUGGCGGAAUUGACGGUGUAGCGGUGAAAUGCUUAGAUAUCGUCAAGAACACCGAUAGCGAAGGCAGCUUACCAAGCUCUAACUGACACUGAUGCACGAAAGUGUGGGGAUCAAACAGG